UAAUUCCAGUUGAUCCUGCUGGAGAGUGCCGCUAUCAGGGUCUGUCAGCCAUGCAAGUCACAGGCUUUCCCGCUUAUGCGGGAAAGUGCUGGGCGAACUGCUGAGUAACACGUAGCUAAUCUACCCUUAGCUCCCGGAUAACCUCGGGAAACUGAGACUAAUCCGGGAUAGGCGAGGAAACUUGGAAAAGCCCUCGCUGAAAGCCUCUCUGAGGCGGCUAAGGAUGAGGCUGCGGCCUAUCAGGUAGUUGUUGGGGUAAAAGCCCAACAAGCCUAUGACGGGUAGGGGCCCUGAGAGGGGGAGCCCCCAGAAGGACUCUGAGACACUAGUCCUAGCCCUACGGGGUGCAGCAGGCGCGAAGAUUUUCCAAUGCCCGCAAGGGUGAGAAAGAGACCCUGAGUGCUCACGCUUUGCGUGAGCUUUUCCCGAGUGUAAAAAGCUCGGGGAAUAAGGGCUGGGCAAGACCGGUGCCAGCAGCCGCGGUAAUACCGGCGGCCCAAGUGGCACUCACGUUUAUUGGGUCUAAAACAUCCGUAGCCGGCCUCGUAAGUCCUAUGUUAAAUUGUCACGCUUAACGUGACAAACGCAUAGGAUACUGCGAGGCUAGGGACUGGGAGACGCAGCGGGUACGGCGAGGGUAACGGUAAAAUGUGUUAAUCCUCGCCGGACCAACAGGGCGAAGGCGCGCUGCGAGAACAGGUCCGACGGUCAGGGAUGAAGGCCAGGGGCGCAAAAGGGAUUAGAUACCCCUGUAGUCCUGGCUGUAAACGCUGCCCACUAAACAUCGCGAUCUCCUCGAGAGGUCGCGGUGCUGAAGCGAAGGCGGAAGUGGGCUACCUGGGGAGUACGGCCGCAAGACUGAAACUUAAAGGAAUUGGCGGGGGAGCAUUACAAGGGGUGACGCGUGCGGUUUAAUCAGAUUCUACACCGUGAACCUCACCAGGACCGACAGCAGGAUGAAGGUCAGUCUGAAGGGCUUACCUGACACGCUGAGAGGAGGUACAUAGCCGCCGUCAGCCUGUGCCGUGAGGUGAUCUGUUAAAUCAGGUAACAGGCGAGACCUGCGUGCCUAGUUGCCACCCGGUAAGGGGGCACUCUAGGCAGACUGCUCCCGCAAGGGAGAGGAAGGUGCAGGCAACGGUAGGUGGCAUGCCCCGAAUGCCCUGGGCUACACGCGCGCGGCAAUGGCGGCAACAAUGGGUUGCGACCCCGAAAGGGGAAGCUAAUCCCCUAAAUGCCGUCCUAGUCCAGAUCGAGGCUUGCAACUCAGCCUCGUGACGCUGGAAUCCCUAGUAAUCGGACGUUAGCAGCGUCCGGUGAAUAAGUCCCUGCUCCCUGCACACACCGCCCGUCAAACCGUCCGAGUUGCGCCUUGGUGAAGCCCUUCGGGGAAGAACCUUGGCGCAGCGAGGAAGGUUAAGUCGACACAUGGUAUCCGUAGGGGAACCUGCGGAUGGAUCACCUCCUAA
rnacentral:rRNA from 1 species